rnacentral:ribozyme from 20 species
CAACAGCGAAGCGCGCCAGGGAAACACACCAUGUGUGGUAUAUUAUCUGGCA